rnacentral:rRNA from 1 species
AGAGUUUGAUCAUGGCUCAGAACGAACGCUGGCGGCGUGCUUAACACAUGCAAGUCGAACGAUGAUGCCCAGCUUGCUGGGCGGAUUAGUGGCGAACGGGUGAGUAAUACGUGAGUAACCUGCCCUUGACUCUGGGAUAAGCCUGGGAAACUGGGUCUAAUACUGGAUACUACCUCUUACCGCAUGGUGGGUGGUGGAAAGGGUUUUACUGGUUUUGGAUGGGCUCACGGCCUAUCAGCUUGUUGGUGGGGUAAUGGCUCACCAAGGCGACGACGGGUAGCCGGCCUGAGAGGGUGACCGGCCACACUGGGACUGAGACACGGCCCAGACUCCUACGGGAGGCAGCAGUGGGGAAUAUUGCACAAUGGGCGGAAGCCUGAUGCAGCGACGCCGCGUGAGGGAUGACGGCCUUCGGGUUGUAAACCUCUUUCAGUAGGGAAGAAGCGAGAGUGACGGUACCUGCAGAAGAAGCGCCGGCUAACUACGUGCCAGCAGCCGCGGUAAUACGUAGGGCGCAAGCGUUGUCCGGAAUUAUUGGGCGUAAAGAGCUCGUAGGCGGUUUGUCGCGUCUGCUGUGAAAGCCCGGGGCUCAACCCCGGGUCUGCAGUGGGUACGGGCAGACUAGAGUGCAGUAGGGGAGACUGGAAUUCCUGGUGUAGCGGUGAAAUGCGCAGAUAUCAGGAGGAACACCGAUGGCGAAGGCAGGUCUCUGGGCUGUUACUGACGCUGAGGAGCGAAAGCAUGGGGAGCGAACAGGAUUAGAUACCCUGGUAGUCCAUGCCGUAAACGUUGGGCACUAGGUAUGGGGGUCAUUCCACGUUUUCCGCGCCGUAGCUAACGCAUUAAGUGCCCCGCCUGGGGAGUACGGCCGCAAGGCUAAAACUCAAAGGAAUUGACGGGGGCCCGCACAAGCGGCGGAGCAUGCGGAUUAAUUCGAUGCAACGCGAAGAACCUUACCAAGGCUUGACAUUCACCGGACCGCCCCAGAGAUGGGGUUUCCCUUCGGGGCUGGUGGACAGGUGGUGCAUGGUUGUCGUCAGCUCGUGUCGUGAGAUGUUGGGUUAAGUCCCGCAACGAGCGCAACCCUCGUUCUAUGUUGCCAGCACGUGAUGGUGGGGACUCAUAGGAGACUGCCGGGGUCAACUCGGAGGAAGGUGGGGAUGACGUCAAAUCAUCAUGCCCCUUAUGUCUUGGGCUUCACGCAUGCUACAAUGGCCGGUACAAAGGGUUGCGAUACUGUGAGGUGGAGCUAAUCCCAAAAAGCCGGUCUCAGUUCGGAUUGAGGUCUGCAACUCGACCUCAUGAAGUCGGAGUCGCUAGUAAUCGCAGAUCAGCAACGCUGCGGUGAAUACGUUCCCGGGCCUUGUACACACCGCCCGUCAAGUCACGAAAGUUGGUAACACCCGAAGCCGGUGGCCUAACCCCUUGUGGGAGGGAGCCGUCGAAGGUGGGACUGGCGAUUGGGACUAAGUCGUAACAAGGUAACC